rnacentral:rRNA from 1 species
UACGGGAGGCAGCAGUGGGGAAUAUUGCACAAUGGGCGAAAGCCUGAUGCAGCUAUGCCGCGUGUAUGAAGAAGGCCUUAGGGUUGUAAAGUACUUUCAUCGGGGAGGAAAAACAAAACUAAUAAUUUUAUUUCUUGACGUUACCCGAAAAAGAAGCACCGGCUAACUCCGUGCCAGCAGCCGCGGUAAUACGGAGGGUGCUAGCGUUAAUCAGAAUUACUGGGCGUAAAGAGCACGUAGGUGGUUUUUUAAGUCAGAUGUGAAUCCCUGGGCUUAACCUAGGAACUGCAUUUUGAAACUGAAAUACUAGAGUAUCGUAGAGGGAGGUAGAAUUCUAGGUGUAGCGGUGAAAUGCGUAGAUAUCUGGAGGAAUACCUGUGGCGAAAGCGGCCUCCUAAACGAAUACUGACACUGAGGUGCGAAAGCGUGGGGAGCAAACAGGGAUUAGAUACC